rnacentral:rRNA from 1 species
CCUACGGGGGGCAGCAGUGGGGAAUAUUGGACAAUGGGGGCAACCCUGAUCCAGCCAUGCCGCGUGUGUGAAGAAGGCCCUCGGGUUGUAAAGCACUUUCAGUGAGGAAGAACGCCUGGUGGUUAAUACCCAUCAGGAAAGACAUCACUCACAGAAGAAGCACCGGCUAACUCCGUGCCAGCAGCCGCGGUAAUACGGAGGGUGCGAGCGUUAAUCGGAAUUACUGGGCGUAAAGCGCGCGUAGGUGGCUUGAUAAGCCGGUUGUGAAAGCCCCGGGCUCAACCUGGGAACGGCAUCCGGAACUGUCAAGCUAGAGUGCAGGAGAGGAAGGUAGAAUUCCCGGUGUAGCGGUGAAAUGCGUAGAGAUCGGGAGGAAUACCAGUGGCGAAGGCGGCCUUCUGGACUGACACUGACACUGAGGUGCGAAAGCGUGGGUAGCAAACAGGAUUACAUACCCCGGUAGUC